rnacentral:lncRNA from 1 species
CGCCGCCAUUUUGGGCUGGGAGGAGGCAGCGGAGGGACUCGCUGCGCAGUGAGAGCACCCCGUGGGGGGUGGUCCGGGCGCGGGGAGAGGCCGGGCCGAGUGGGCUGCCUGAAGUGGUGGCGCCGGGAGACGGCGGGGAGUGGGACCGGGGACCGGGGGGGUGAAGGUUGGAGACUCCCCGGCCGGGCCCGGUCCUCAAACCGUCCCGGCAGCCCCGCAGCCUCGCCUCUCACAGAGGGCGGGGUUCUUGGGCAAUUACCGCGUGUUCCCCGAGACCCCAGUUGGGGAGAGACCGGGUGAAACAAACGACUCCGCUCUGCUCUUCCCACGGGGGACGCAGAUCCAGAGGCCGAGUUCUGCCAACUUUCCCCACCCCCAUGCGGCCUGGGUAUGGUGGCGGGGCCCAGCGUUGCGGGACCCCCACUACGAGGGGCGAGGUGGGGGCGUCGCCAGAUUCCAAAGACUGGCGCCCCCGGGGAGGGCGGAGGUCCCAGCUCUGGCCGUGCGUCCUCCUGGCGUGGCUGGCAGCUGGAGGCCCCGAGGGCGCAGAGCCGGGUGCACCCACCAUCUUCCCCCAUACACCAAGGCCAUCUCGCGGCCCCGGCUUCGAGAAGGAAACAGUCUCUUCUUACAGUAGCAACCACCAAUUCCUCCUGGAACUAGGUAGAUAGAGGCACGUGGAAGGCUUUGCGAGCCCAAUGCUUGGAAAUCUCUGAGCGCUCUUGCCCUCAAGAUUUCUAGCCAGCCCCGAUUGUCGGAAUGACCUGACCUUGCACGUCCCCAGCCAGUUUGGGAAACUCUAAAAAUGUGCUGUUCACUUCUCUUGAAAGUUUACACCGAAAAAAGGUUGGGUUUUGCCCUUUACGGGGUUGGGACACAAAAAAAAAACUGAGUGGCCACGGCUCAGGGAAUAAAAGUGGAGUGGCCCAUUUCGGAUGCUUCAGGAACAUCUGUUUGCGUUUUGAAAUCCGAGCCAUGAGUUUUAACCAAAACUUUUGGAGAAAUGGCUGCCCUCCUAGAGGAAAGAACGAACUAAUUCCAACAUAAUCUUUAUAAGACUACAAAUUCUUUCCAGUUUAAAGAACUUUUCUUCCACAAACUGAACAAAAUGGGGAGUAUUUUGCCACUGACGCAUUGUUACUAGGGAACCUCUAUUUUGAAUUUCCAAGGACACUAAUUGAAAAUCACCUCUGUGAAUCCCAGAUGCUACCCAGAUAGAAAUUGCAGUUUUGAGCAACUUCAUGUAUGUAGCGUUUGAGGGGUGGGGGGAGACCUGCUUUGAAAAAAAUAAAUACUCAACCUUACAUUGACAGUUAUAGCAGCUUCUUAGGAUUGAAGUUUGAUGUGAAAUUCUUUUCUUGAAUUACAGAUUAAACCAUCUUGUUUCCUCCUGCUCGAGAUCCAAGUUCAGAGAGCUUUACAUACAGCUCAGGGAUAUCUUAAUAAUUUUGUUGCUAAAAUACCAGUUAGAAAUUAUGUGUAGCAUGAGAGUGACUGGGUAGUGAACUUUACCUUUGAGGGUAUCUUGUAAUGAAUCUCAUUGCCAAUUACAUAUGGUCACAUCAUUCCUAAGCCUUUGGCUUGAAAAGCAAGAACCUUGAAAGGUUUUUGAUAACUGAAGCCCUCCCCCUCCUCCUAUUAAUCAUCUUUUAAGUUGUAAAUGACAGUUCCAUAACUUUAUAUUCUCCCCCUGCUCCCCAGAUGUUCUCAGAGAAAGUCUUACAACUGGAUGGUGACAAGGUGAUCACCAUUGACUUAAUUUCUUAAUCCAAAAUUUGAACCACUAAAUGAAGUAUCCUUGAUUCAUACUGUAGGUUGACUUGGCUUAUGUCAUGUUAAUUUUACACUGUUCUUCAGAUCAAGAGAAGAUUGGUUAGGAAAAGCUGACAUUAACUUGGUAGGAGUUAAGUUAAAUAGUCAUAGGAGCUGAAUGGGGCUUUACAGAUUAUCUUUGUAGUUCUUCUGUCAAGAAUUUAAUGGAGGAUCCCAGACUCUUGUGAUUCAUCCUCCAUGGUGAAGUAAUAGGGUUAAACCUUUGGAUGCUACUAGGUAGACAGUACUGGGCCAGGUGCAGAAAUGUGUUACUCAUUUAGAAAGAUGAAAGGUUAUCAUCUUUAAGGUUGACCCGGAAGCUUUUCUAUUCCUUGAUAAGAAAAGUUGGGAAUAAACCCAGUUUAAUAAUGCUCCCUUGGUUAUCUUUUGAGCAAAACACAGGACUGGAAGUUAGGAACUCCCAAGUUCUAUUUCUGUGUGUGCUACCACUGACUUGAUUGGCUUGGCCAGAGGCCAAAUCCUGAAGAUGAGGCCAAACUGGUCAUUUUGUUGCUGAGUCCAUUGUUCAUCUAAUGUUCAACCAGACCUUCAACUUCCUUCUCAGCUCUCCCCUUUCAGAUGAGUUGUUUUGGGGUUUAUGACAAAGGCUACAAACCCUAUAUGCUUCAGUUUCCUGAUUUGAAAAUAGUAUCUGUGCUGCCUCCCUCAUAAAUACCUUGAGUAACUACUCUUCAGUAGCUAUGUAAACAUUUACUUACUAAAACUUCAUUAUUUGGGAAUCUAGAACUUCUGCUUCAGAAGUUAUCUGGGGUAUUUGGGAGGCCUGCCUUAAAGAAAUGUGGCCCUGGUUGCCCUUGGCGGCACAAAGGGUGGCCAUCCAACUAGGCUGAAUGAGGGUCAGUUUCUCAGGGUACCAAGCAGUUGUUACUAGGAAGACCUGGAUAUUUUACCCUGAUGGCCAGCUCCUGGGGCCUGGUGGCUCUGUGUGAGCAGGAUCCAUGGAUGAGUAGGAUUGACUCUUGGAGCAGGUCCCCUUUGGCAUGAAGCUGCUUGCUUCUGAGUGAUUGGACUUCCACAAUCAUAAUUUUUUAUUGUGUUUCGCUCUCACCCUCUUUCUCUUUGAAUUUUCUCUUCUUAAAUUGCUCAAAUGUUUGUUGUUUUGUUAAGUACACUUUUAGAAAUAACGAGAGAGGUAACCUCUUAGACAUUCCUUUCCAUCCUCUAGUUUGGUCUCCUGCCUUUGCCUAACAGUUGUACUGGAGUUAUCCAGGUAUGCGAACUUCUGUGUUGAAUCAGUCUUCAGACUUCAAAUUAACCUCCUUUUCUGACCCUCUGGAGGCUAGCACAAGUUCUUCUGAGAGCUCACAAGAGCAGCGAUGCUGUCAUUUUUUCAGAUGCUUCUGCUUGGGGCACUCAAGUUCCCACAUUUUCCUUCAGGAAUAUCCUUUUUGCUCACUGCAAACCCAGGGCUUUUUAACACUUCACACGAAGUCUGUGGAUGUGUCAAAUAGAAUAUGAAGGAUGAGAGUUCAGUUUCCUUCCGAAUUUUUGCUCUUCUUGAAAAAACUUUUAGGGGCGCCUGGGUGGCUCAGUCGGUUGAGCGACCGACUUCGGCUCAGGUCAUGAUCUCACGGUUUGUGAGUUCAAGCCCCGCAUCGGGCUCUGUGCUGCCAGCUCAGAGCCUGGAGCCUGCUUCUGAUUCUGUGUCUCCCUCUCUCUCUGACCCUCCCCCACUCAUGCUCUGUCUCUCUCUGCCUCAGAAAUAAAUAAAGAUUAAAAAAAAAAUUUUUUUUAAAAAGAAAAAACUUUUAAGCCAAAUAUAACUGCUCUUGGUGCUACGUUGAGAGAGAGCACUUUUUCAAAAAACUUACCAACAGUUGCCUACAGCAGCUCACUCAUUUGAAAGAAUUUUGUUGGUGUGCAAAGGUUUAUUAAUAAACUACUAGGAUUAUUCUCUGCCCUUGACCUUGUUAACAUCAUUUGUCAUAAUUGAACCACCUCUGAGUAAACCCCAAGAAAAAGUUUAUUCAGGAGGAAUUGUGAGGGCUCAAUUAUUGAUCUGUUUAAACUCAGCCUUUGUUUUUUUCAACAAGAAGUGGAAUGAGGUUGUAAACUUUCCAGUAUUCAAAGACCAUUGGCUCAAAUGGAAUCUUUGCCACCUAGACUGUAUAUUCUGUCCCAUUUGCAAAGUAUGACGAUUACCUUUUGGUCAGCCCACCCGACUGUUCAGGGCCUGAAUUUGACAUCAUCUUUCUUUUAAAAAUUAUUUUUCAUUUCUAGCAUCAACCAUUUAUACUUGGUGUGAGCAAGAAUAGUAAAGUGGUAUUUUAUUCCAAUGUUAUCAAAUUUGAAAAAAUAAUUUCAAAAACAAAUCUCACAAACUCAAGUGUACUUAAUACAAGUACUAUCUCAGCUCUAGCUAACUUUGCUAUCACAAUGUUGUGAAUAUUUGUUGCCAGCUGUUCUGGGUGUAAGUGGCCAGGGAGAAUUCUGUGGUGCAUUACCUAAUGUUUGACUAAAUAUAGCCAGCUCUUGAUUUUCUGAAGGUAAACUAUUUGCUUGUGGUUGUGGGAUUUUUUGUUGUUGUUUUUUGGUUUUUGGUUUUUUUAAUUUCUAUGGAUUCCCUCUUUGAUUUUUUUUUCCCCUCUAACUUUUGAAGUGAUUAGGGUCAUAUUUAUUUACAUUUUCCCAAAGGAUUUUAAUUUUACUCUAGAUGAAGUGAAAAUUAAAAUACUGAUCAAAUGGGCAACUGCUCUGGUCUUAAAAAGAAACAAGGGGCUGGCUCAGUCAGUGGAGCAUGUGACUCUUGAUCUCGGGGUUGUGGGUUCGAGCCCCACACUGGGCAUAGAGAUUACUGGGAAAAAAAAGGAAAGAAAGAAAUAAAAGAAUAUCAAUGUUAGCUUACUUUAGUAUAACAUGUUUUCAUCCUUUAAUCCUGAUAGCAGUUUUGUAAAGUAGGCACAGGCCCAUUUUGCUGAUGAAGAAUGAGACUCAGAGUUUAAGAGAGUUUUGUCCAGGGUUGCACUACCAGUAUAUGUUAAAGAUAUGACUAGGACCCUGGUUUUUUGACUCCUUUUAAGCUAGUCUAAUUUUUAUGUUUUCUUUCUUUAGAGAUACCUGGUAUAUUUUUCUGAAUUAAACCAAUCUGAACCUCCCUGGUUUUCUCUCCCCAAAAAAAUGAUAUCUAAAGGGCCCUGUCUCCUGAAGGCCACUUUGUAUUAUAGGCUAGCCCCCCAAAAGUUUUCCUUAGAGGAGGAUUAAGCUUUCCAGCCAGCUCUCUCAAAGUUGGGGAAGCACUUUGUCCUGGCUGGAUACCCAGGCCCCCUAUGAGAAAGGGAACAAACUGAAAUUGCCAGUGUGUAAGCCUGGUCUUUUAAGCAGCUCAGUUGAAAUGUUUGGAAGAGAGGACUUUAGUGAAAGAUUAGAGAUCCUCAAAUGACUUGAGGACCAUUUGUCAGCACAGCCCCCUUUUAUAAUAAGUAAUUCAGAGUCUUUUCUUUAUCCUGAGAGCAGUAUGCUAGUCAAGUGUUUCAGUGUAGAAAGUGUUGAUAGAAAACUGAAAUUUCCCGCAAACCUCAUCACUCUAAGAACAUAAUGUAAUACAUUUUAUAAAGUGCCUUGGAAGCAAAAUUUGGAAAGUGGCAUAUCUCCAGGUAAAUGAAAGUACUUUGUGAGUUACUUAAAACUGUGUAUUUUUAAAGACUGGACUUAAUUUGUCUCCUAAGAGUAAAACAUAGUUGUUGUUUUUCUGACGGUAAAUGUAUUUACAGAGUCUUUCCAAGACAAACAGUAGGGGAAACAAGAUCAUUAAACUUAAAUCCAUUCAUCUUCAUAACAAGUUCUACAAUCGGAGGUUAUCACUGCUGCAUCCUACAGUGCAGUCAAAAUGAGGCUUCUCUGCACUAUAAAGCCAGAGGGCAGUGUUGCUGCCUUUCCACCAAGCAGCCAGCCAGGUUUCUGGGACUACUGCAUGACGUCAUAGCAGAAGGAAAAUUAAAAACAUGAAGAAAACUAUUUCAAAAUAGACAUUUAAUGUAAUUUUAGGCCAAAGGAAAAACUGAUCAUACAUUGUCUUCAGUGGACCAUCUGCCAGAAUAGGGCCAGCUUAGUCCAGCUUUGAAGGCCCUGAGUCAGUUCUUGACCAGCAUUAAUUUCCCUUGAUUUACUGAUUUGUGAAUGCUCAUGCAUCAUAAGGUGCGUUUCACUCUUAGAAGUUCCUACCACUUCCACCAUUCCAUUUAGCUACAAAAGCAAGCUUUCCAGUGGGAGUUUGGCGGGGGGGGGGGUCCCCUUUUCCCUGUAGAGGUUCUUAACCUUCAAGAAGUUUAACAAUCUCCUGAUUCUCUUGACUGUCUCCCCAGAAUAAUGUACAUAUGACACAAGUCUACAUAGAAACUCAUGGGGUUCAUGUAUCCCAAGACCCCCUAUGGUUUCUAAGGCCCCACAUUAAGGAACCCCUGUGCUAAUGAUUUGAGCAAUGCAUCUGCUGUAGGAAAACACUGACACAGCCAGGUGGAGAUGGGUUGGAUUAACCAUGGUGACAGGAAGGAACAAUCGUAAUUUCUUUUUUGUUGUUUUUAAGGAGCUGGAAGUUUACUGAAUACACUGCAAGGGAAUGGUGGCCAGGAUAGCAAAAGAGAGAUUGCCAACAAUCAUCAUUUCUUACUAUUUUGAUUUGGGGGCAGAAAUUAAUUCUGAGGGCCUCCUUGCAUUUUCAAGAACAGAACUACUCCAGAACCUAAGCAGCUAUUAGGAGAUUGAGGAUAGCGACUGCACAAGGAAUGUGCAGGGUUCCCACUCGGCCCAUAAGGACUUAAUUUAGCUCCCGAACCAGAAGCUUUACAUUUCAUUUGCAGUGAGGGGGCAUUUCUAAUUUUGGCUUGACCCUCAUGAAAAGGUGGACAGCUCCUGUUCCUUUUUUUAGUAUAGGGAGCACCUAAGUAUUAGAUAAUUAGGGUAAGUCCUUGGAAUGCCCCAAACAGCCAUUUCCUCUAUAAAUCCAAUAUUCCCUACCUCUAAACAUCUUAACAAAGAGCUGCCACACAAGUUUAUUCAACCAUUGCUUGCACUAAAAAAGCAAGGGGUUUACCAAGAGCUUCUUUCAGACAUGCAGGAGCUUCUUCAAGCCGUAUUGGGGAGGUGAAGGGAUUACUAAAAACCUAUUUGUAGGAAUGAAAUGAGACUGUCCUUUGUCUAACCUAACAAACUACCAAAUUAGGUUGGCUGUUGAGAAGCAGAAUUAAAUUCUAAGCUUCUGACUGUAGCCACUUUCUGCUCCCCAAGCACCCGCCACUGGAUUAUUUCUCCAGCAUCAAAAAAUUAAAACCAAGGCACUAAGCAAGCACACUUAAGUAUUGAAGGUAAUUAAAUCUUUAUAUUUUGCCUGAACUGUAUUUUGUAGCACACUAAAACCCAUUCAAGGGAAAAAUCAGCAAAUUGAAAACUGUCCCAUUAAAGAUUUUUUUCUGCAAACUGACUAAUGAUUUCUUUACCCCCCCCCACACACAAUGCACUUAAAAUAAGCCAGCACUAUUUGAAUUAGCUCUAGAAAUCACACUGAAACUGUUACAUUUACAAAUAUUAAAUUUAUUAUAACUAGAAUGAAUUUAAUGGUUCUCAGAUUUGGCCACCUUAUAGCUCCGUUUAAGGAGGGGAUUUUUAACAGAAAAAUGCAUCAUAACUUGGUCAAGUUACUUACACAUUAAAAAAAAAAAAAAAACCCUAACUAAAAAGGAAAACAAGAAAAGCAACCCUUCAGUUUCACAUAAUUAAAGAACAGGAAAAAAGCACGCAAGCUACAUCAUAGCUAAAUUUACCAAACCAA